CUUGCCUAGAUGAUUUUAGUGCUUGCACUAAAUGAAACUAGAUACAAGCGAGCGGCGGACGGGUGAGUAACACGUGGGUAACCUGCCCAAGAGACUGGGAUAACACCUGGAAACAGAUGCUAAUACCGGAUAACAACACUAGACGCAUGUCUAGAGUUUGAAAGAUGGUUCUGCUAUCACUCUUGGAUGGACCUGCGGUGCAUUAGCUAGUUGGUAAGGUAACGGCUUACCAAGGCAAUGAUGCAUAGCCGAGUUGAGAGACUGAUCGGCCACAUUGGGACUGAGACACGGCCCAAACUCCUACGGGAGGCAGCAGUAGGGAAUCUUCCACAAUGGACGAAGGUCUGAUGGAGCAACGCCGCGUGAGUGAAGAAGGGUUUCGGCUCGUAAAGCUCUGUUGGUAGUGAAGAAAGAUAGAGGUAGUAACUGGCCUUUAUUUGACGGUAAUUACUUAGAAAGUCACGGCUAACUACGUGCCAGCAGCCGCGGUAAUACGUAGGUGGCAAGCGUUGUCCGGAUUUAUUGGGCGUAAAGCGAGUGCAGGCGGUUCAAUAAGUCUGAUGUGAAAGCCUUCGGCUCAACCGGAGAAUUGCAUCAGAAACUGUUGAACUUGAGUGCAGAAGAGGAGAGUGGAACUC
rnacentral:rRNA from 1 species